GACGAACCGUGCGAACGUUAUUCGGAAUCACUGGGCUUAAAGCGCGUGUAGGCGGGAGGGCACGUCCGUCGCUGAAAUCCCCCGGCUCAACCGGGGUACGGGCGCGGAUACGACCUUCCUGGAGGGGCGUAGGGGGACCUGGAACUUCCGGUGGAGCGGUGAAAUGCGUUGAGAUCGGAAGGAACGCCCGUGGCGAAAGCGACUACCUGGCCUGUUCUUGACGCUGAGGCGCGAAAGCUAGGGGAGCAAACGGG
rnacentral:rRNA from 1 species